AGAAGCGGGGGACGGGGGAGUAAUGUGUGGGAAACUGCCUGAUGGAGGGGGAUAACUACUGGAAACGGUGGCUAAUACCCCAUAAAGUCGCUACACCCCAGAGGGGGGGCUUCUGGCCUCUUGCCAUCUCAUGUGCCCCCAUGGGAUUAUCUAUUAUGUGGGGUAACGGGUCUCCUAAGCGACAAUCCCUAUCUGUGCUGAGAGGAUGACCCCCCACACUGUAACUGAGACACGGUCCACACUCCUACAGGAGGCACCACUGGGGAAUAUUGCACAAUGGGCGCAAGCCUGAUGCACCC
rnacentral:rRNA from 1 species